CAGCCAGGAUGUUGGCUUAGAAGCAGCCAUCAUUUAAAGAAAGCGUAAUAGCUCACUGGUCGAGUCGGCCUGCGCGGAAGAUGUAACGGGGCUAAACCAUGCACCGAAGCUGCGGCAGCGACGUUUAUGCGUUGUUGGGUAGGGGAGCGUUCUGUAAGCCUGCGAAGGUGGCCUGUGAGGGUUGCUGGAGGUAUCAGAAGUGCGAAUGCUGACAUAAGUAACGAUAAAGCGGGUGAAAAGCCCGCUCGCCGGAAGACCAAGGGUUCCUGUCCAACGUUAAUCGGGGCAGGGUGAGUCGACCCCUAAGGCGAGGCCGAAAGGCGUAGUCGAUGGGAAACGGGUUAAUAUUCCCGUACUUGGUGUUACUGCGAAGGGGGGACGGAGAAGGCUAUGUUGGCCGGGCGACGGUUGUCCCGGUUUAAGCGUGUAGGUGUGUGUUCCAGGUAAAUCCGGUUCACUUUAACACUGAGGCGUGAUGACGAGGCACUACGGUGCUGAAGCAACAAAUGCCCUGCUUCCAGGAAAAGCCUCUAAGCAUCAGGUAACACGAAAUCGUACCCCAAACCGACACAGGUGGUCAGGUAGAGAAUACCAAGGCGCUUGAGAGAACUCGGGUGAAGGAACUAGGCAAAAUGGUGCCGUAACUUCGGGAGAAGGCACGCUGACACGUAGGUGAAGUGAUUUACUCAUGGAGCUGAAGUCAGUCGAAGAUACCAGCUGGCUGCAACUGUUUAUUAAAAACACAGCACUGUGCAAACACGAAAGUGGACGUAUACGGUGUGACGCCUGCCCGGUGCCGGAAGGUUAAUUGAUGGGGUCAGCGCAAGCGAAGCUCCUGAUCGAAGCCCCGGUAAACGGCGGCCGUAACUAUAACGGUCCUAAGGUAGCGAAAUUCCUUGUCGGGUAAGUUCCGACCUGCACGAAUGGCGUAAUGAUGGCCAGGCUGUCUCCACCCGAGACUCAGUGAAAUUGAACUCGCUGUGAAGAUGCAGUGUACCCGCGGCAAGACGGAAAGACCCCGUGAACCUUUACUAUAGCUUGACACUGAACAUUGAGCCUUGAUGUGUAGGAUAGGUGGGAGGCUUUGAAGUGUGGACGCCAGUCUGCAUGGAGCCGACCUUGAAAUACCACCCUUUAAUGUUUGAUGUUCUAACGUGGACCCGUUACCCGGGUUGCGGACAGUGUCUGGUGGGUAGUUUGACUGGGGCGGUCUCCUCCUAAAGAGUAACGGAGGAGCACGAAGGUUGGCUAAUCCUGGUCGGACAUCAGGAGGUUAGUGCAAUGGCAUAAGCCAGCUUGACUGCGAGCGUGACGGCGCGAGCAGGUGCGAAAGCAGGUCAUAGUGAUCCGGUGGUUCUGAAUGGAAGGGCCAUCGCUCAACGGAUAAAAGGUACUCCGGGGAUAACAGGCUGAUACCGCCCAAGAGUUCAUAUCGACGGCGGUGUUUGGCACCUCGAUGUCGGCUCAUCACAUCCUGGGGCUGAAGUAGGUCCCAAGGGUAUGGCUGUUCGCCAUUUAAAGUGGUACGCGAGCUGGGUUUAGAACGUCGUGAGACAGUUCGGUCCCUAUCUGCCGUGGGCGCUGGAGAACUGAGGGGGGCUGCUCCUAGUACGAGAGGACCGGAGUGGACGCAUCACUGGUGUUCGGGUUGUCAUGCCAAUGGCACUGCCCGGUAGCUAAAUGCGGAAGAGAUAAGUGCUGAAAGCAUCUAAGCACGAAACUUGCCCCGAGAUGAGUUCUCCCUGAGACUUAGAGUCUCCUGAAGGAACGUUGAAGACGACGACGUUGAUAGGCCGGGUGUGUAAGCGCAGCGAUGCG
rnacentral:rRNA from 1 species